rnacentral:rRNA from 1 species
AGACGUUGGAAAUUUAUUUUCAGUGUCGCAGGGAAACCGAUAAACACACCGCCUGGGGAGUACGACCGCAAGGUUAAAACUCAAAUGAAUUGACGGGGACCCGCACAAGUAGUGGAGCAUGUGGUUUAAUUCGAAGAUACGCGCAGAACCUUACCAACACUUGACAUGUUCGUCGUGACUCUAAGAGAUUAGAGUUUUCGGUUCGGCCGGACGAAACACAGGUGCUGCAUGGCUGUCGUCAGCUCGUGUCGUGAGAUGUUGGGUUAAGUCCCGCAACGAGCGCAACCCUCACUUUUAGUUGCCAUCAUUAAGUUGGGCACUCUGAAAGAACUGCCAGUGAUAAGCUGGAGGAAGGUGGGGAUGACGUCAAGUCCUCAUGGCCCUUACGUGUUGGGCUACACACGUGCUACAAUGGCAUCUACAACAGGAAGCAAAACGGCAACGUUAAGCAAAUCCCGAAAAGAUGCCUCAGUUCGGAUUGCACUCUGCAACUCGAGUGCAUGAAGCUGGAAUUACUAGUAAUCGUGGAUCAGCGUGCCACGGUGAAUGCGUUCCCGGGUCUUGUACACACCGCCCGUCACACCAUGGGAGUUGGUUCUACCUUAAGGCAAGGUUUUAAACCCUUGACCACGGUAUAGUCAGCGACUGGGGUG